AUGUCUACCGGAUCUCCCGCCGACGCCGACCACCGAUCAUCUCCCUCGCCGGAACCAGAUUCCAAAAAUCACAUCGCCGUUCUAGAACCUUCCGCCGCCGCUCCUCUUCCGCCGACCACCAGAAGCAACCGCCCUUCCCGAGCUUGCACGAUUCGCGCUGCGUCGCGAAACUAUUCCUCCCAGCCGGUAAUCGAACGGAAACCGAAGAAAGAGCAUAAGCGGGAGGAACAGGAGGAGCAAGACGAGUCUCCUCCUCCGCCGCAAUGCAGUAACAGUAAGAUUGUUACGCCGCUUGUGGAAACGCCGUCUGAGUCGCAGCUCUCAAGGUGGAAUAUUCGCUCGAUGUGGGAGUUGGCUUCUGUGCUUAAUUUCUUGAAUUUGUUUAGGCCUCUGUUGAAUAUCUCACUUGAAUUCUCUGCUGAAGAGUUUGAGACUGCUCUUCUUAACCCCAAUGACACUUUGUUUUACAUUCACAUGCCUUUGCUAAAG